rnacentral:rRNA from 1 species
GACUGUACAAAGGUAGCAUAAUCAUUUGUCUCUUAAUUGGAGUCUGGAAUGAAUGGUUGGAUGAAAAAUUUACUUUCUUUAUUUUAAAUAUUGAAUUUGAUUUCUAGAUUAAAAAGUCUAGAUUUAUUUGGAGGACGAGAAGACCCUAUAGAACUUAACUCCCCAUAUUUUAAUUAUUUACUUGUAAAUAAUUUUUAUUUAUUUUAUGGGGGGUUUUAUUGGGGUGAUAAAAAAAAUUUCUUAACUUUUUUUACUUGUAUCACUUUUUGUGGUUUUUUGAUCCUUUAAUAUGGAUUAUAAGUUUAAGUUACCUUAGGGAUAACAGCGUUAUUAUUUUGGAGAGUUCAUAUUGAUAAAAUAGUUUGCGACCUCGAUGUUGGAUUAAAUUUAGUGCUAGGGGUAGAAUAUUGGUUACUAGGUCUGUUCGACCUUUAAAUUUUUACA